AUUAAGUUACGCUUUCAAGAUGACUCCUAAUGGAGCUCAGAAAGAAGAAAAUCACCACAGGUAGCCCCUGUCAGGUUAUUGAUGAAGGCCAGAAGAUACCAGAAGUGGUGGACUGCUUGAGGGUGCAGAAAGGCUGAGGUCAAGUCAACAUACCCAGUGGCAGCUUUUUGUUAUGUGGGUAUCCUGUGCCAGCCACUGUGCUGAAUUCAAGGUAGAAAUAUAGACAGUGAGGGUUGGCAAGGACCUAGGAGGAAAAAACUCCUGUUUUGGAGCCAAAGUUUGAUUGGAAUGUUAAGACUCACGUGGCAGGGAGAGAGGAAGGAGUGAGAAAACAAUACUGUACAUAAAUCAGCAGAGACUGAAAGAUGCUGGGAAAAUCAGAGAAAGGAAAAGGAAAUUUGAGCGGCAGUUUAUCAGCAAAGAUGUGGGGGGAGUAUAUGUGAUUCCCAGUGUUCUAUGAAGGAAGCAAUGUGGAGAGCGCCCUCUAAAGCAACCGUUAUUGUGCCAUAUUACAGUCAAGGAAGCCACAUCUGAGGAUGUGAAUGUUUAAAUAAUUGGUCCAAGGGCACACAGUGGAUGAAGAGCAGAACUGGGAAGUGAGGCCAUGGCCGUCUGACUCAAAAAUCCAUUAUCAUACGGGGACUCUCCAUACUAUCUUUGCAACUGUUCCAUAAAUCUAAAAUUAUUCCAAAAUAAAAAGGUCAUUUAAAAAAAUAAAAUUAAUUGCCGAAAUGGG